UAACUUCCAGCCUGCGAAAAACUGACCAAUGGCGAGCGAGAUAUCUUUUCAAACACUGUAAAUGAUUUUGGUUGAAGCAGCUUUUUAGGACACAAGAGAUAAGUUGAAGUUAACCGUCAGUACUAACGAAAAGUUGGCAGAGCAGAAGCAGGAGAGCUGAAGGCUGCAGCAGGACUGACUUCCACCUGAGGAUGAGCGUCUGUGUGGUGGAGGAGGACAGAGCAGAGUCUCCAGGACCCGUCUGUCUGUCUGUGAAGAGUGACCAGUCUAAAGAUAGUCCUCUGUUAUUCAGUCAUGAACCUGGACCCUCAGCCACAAAAGUUCAGCCCAACAGACAGAGAUCAGAGUUUCCAGGAUCCAGCUGUGUGUCCAUGCAGAGUGACCAGUCCGAUGAGCCACCUUCAGGCUUCAGUGAUGAACCUGGACCCUCACACACAAAGUAAAAAGCUGUUUUUACUGUAAACUCACCCGAUGAAGAUGAUGCACUGAGGGGUUUCAUAACUUCACAGGGGUGCAAAAGAGCAAGCAGUCGACUGAGACCUGUGUGAGACGCUGAAUGGUCCAAUAUUGAAGCAGCUCCUUCUGUCAAUUUAAAUCAAAACAAGUGAACACGUAGGAAUAUUUUGUGGGGAGGCAGGAGUGGCAGAAAAAUAUCACAACAAUAGAUCUAAAAUCGGUUAAAUAAAGAUACUUUAAAGUGAUCUUAGAAAAUUUAAGUGAUGAAUGUAAGAAAUAAAUAUGAAUUGUUUUUAAUGUUUGAUUUUGUCAUCACUGUCUUUUUUAACCAGUC
rnacentral:lncRNA from 1 species